rnacentral:lncRNA from 1 species
CUGCUGGGUGCGAUAAAUAAUGCGCUGUAAUGUAUUCUUUAGCAAAUUAUAAUGAAAAGCAGAAAAUGUACAGAGGGGAGCAGACAAAUACAUUCCCCAGUUGGCAAGUUAGUGGCUGCUGGCAGCCAGGAAGCGGAUAUUUAGGAGGGUUUGGGAAUUUCUGGGGCUUCCCCUGCAGAUAAAUAACCUCUCUGCAGGUGGUCUCAGUGGGUGCCCUGCUGCUGCGUGUGAUCCAGAAUGAAAAAAACCCUCUGGGGAGGCUGGGGGGGUUUGGGUGCAGCCCCCGAGGUGCCCCAGCAGGGAGGUGGGAGCUGAGUGCUCGCAGAUUGCUCCCAACUCACGCCCGGGAUGGUGAAGCCGUUAUUAGGACAUUUCUCACCGAAGCGCUGGAUGCUCUCCCUGCUCCUCGCUGUUGAGAUAUUUUAACUUCUGGGGUCUGGAGGAGGGACACCAAUCCCUGUGCUGGCCUCUGACAAUUUUGGCCACAAAACGUUGCUUCUGCACUUCUGCAGCCUCCGACGUCUCGAAAUGCAGGUGCAGUCAGGACCUCAAAAGCCGCAGCCAAGAGCAGCAGCCCCCUGCUCUGUGGGCCAUCGGAGGCGAGCUGGGCAGUGAGUGGCAGCACCGCAGCUCCCUCCACUGCUGGGGCUGUGCGCCGGUGCUGCCUGUUCUUUGUCAUUCAGGCAAUCAGAAGCACUUUCCCCUCAUCUGGGUGGUCUUCUCCCAUUUUGCUCCUUCCAGCCCUGGCACCCGGGGCAGUCACAUCCCAUCACGCCGGUUCUCGAGCCAUUUGCGCAGCCUGCUCUUUCUGUUGCCACCGAUUUAGUCACAGCCCCCUUCUCUCCCUCUCUCCCUCCCUUGUCCCACUCCCUCCUGUGCUCCUGUGGGGUGCUUGGGACUGGAGCUCGGCCCCUGCAGCCCCCGGGGUGCUGAUGUGGAUCCCUUGUGAACCCCGUGCCCGUCGGCUUGAAGCAAGCGGCCGUCACCUGGUAGGAAGAGGGGCAGCAGGGAUCUCCCCUGCCCUGUGCUCGGGCCCUGUGUGUGAC